UCCUAACCUCAUUAGCAUAAAUCGGAAGAAUUCGGAGAUAAACGUAAUAAAAUAUGAACAAAAUCCGUAAAAGUCCGAACAGCUUUCCUCGCGAGAAUUCAGCGAGACCAACAUGGUAGAGGUGAAAAUCGAGAGAGAAAUUCAACAUGAAAAAAGAGGUAAAACUUUAUGUUAUCUCGAUUUAUAAGAUUUGUAAAUUGCAAAAAGUUGAAAAACAAACGUUUCUUUACCUGAAAAGUGAAAGUAGGUUUGCAGUUUCUUAUUCUGUCAAAUGCUAUUGCACUUUAAAGUGUCAAAACAGCACCCCUCGAUUUUGUAAACAUGUUUCCACGUGGAAGGGAGUAGUUGUGUCGGUGAAGAUUAACCCACAUACAUUGAUUUAGUAAACAAAAACUCUCGUUAGAGUACAUUUUGAACAGCCAUCUCCAGGAUAUACUCUGAAGACUGUGAUGUACAAGUUCAAGGUUUGACUGUUCAGAUACUUUAAUAAUAAAGAAUGGGGGAAAAAAUUUUCACAUCAUGCUGCAUAACAGCUAGUACAUUUCAGCUGUAACAAAACAAAUUAUCUGAUGAAAGCUUCAACCACGAGAAUCUAGGAAAGGAAUCAUGUCAAGUCCAAAGAGAAGGUAUGUUGAUUACUGGUGAUGAUAAUGUUAUUGAUGUAAAUAGAGUAUAUACUUGCAGCAAUAAAAUAGAGAGAACAA